CCCCCCCCCCCCCCCCCCCCCCCCCCCCCCCCCCCCCCCCCCCCCCCCCCCCCCCCCCCCCCCCCCCCCCCCCCCCCCCCCCCCCCCGGUCCCCGAGCCGGCGGCGGGAGCUUCUGCGCGGGGAAAGGAGGGGAUGGGCUUUGUCGAGGGGUUCCUGCGUGUGUGCUUACCUGCAUUUGUUGGGAUAGAAUCCUGUCAGAGCACCAUAUCAGUUGCCACUACAGUUUAAUUUGGAAAAGUUUCUGAGCUCCGCCGCGGAACUUGUUAGGGGAGGAACCACCUCAGCAUAACCCCUCACCUGGCGGCUGCUGCGCACCCGCAGGCAGAGACUGCCCGGUUCGCAAGCACCGGCAGUCGGCUCCCAGUUUUCUCCGUGAUCCCCGUCCCUCCACUCCGGCCAAGCCGGCUGGGCUCCCCCUCGCUGGUACUGCCCGGCUUUGUGUCGCUCCUGAUGUGGCGGUGCACCCAGGAGAGAGGAGGCUCUUUUUGUCCCUCCCGUUAGCUUCAGCCAAGAGGAAAGAUUUUUUUUUUUUUCCCUAAUAUCACCAUUUAAUGGAGCGGGAAAACCAUAUUUCCUGCCCCGCGCUAAUUAUAGCGCGUCCUCCACCGCGCUGCCCCUUCCGUUCCCAAGCGGCCGGCGAGCCCCCGGGACAAAGAUUUUUUUUUUUUUUCCCUAAUAUCACCAUUUAAUGGAGCGGGAAAACCAUAUUUCCUGCCCCGCGCUAAUUAUAGCGCGUCCUCCACCGCGCUGCCCCUUCCGUUCCCAAGCGGCCGGCGAGCCCCCGGGACCGGCGCUCCCGGCUCACCGCCCCGCAGCUCCCCGGCUACGGCGCUGCCCGAGAGGAGCUCACCCACCCAGGAGCAUGGCCCACGCCGGGCUCCCGUUCCUAGAGGUACGACCUCGAGGAUGACCUUACCGGAAGGUGUCCGUGCUCACCGCAGCGUGAAACCCGGGCAGCGCCGGGGCUGGGACCUCUGCCCCGCUCUGCUGGUUACCCCUCCUCUCUCAUACCUUUACGUGCUCGGCUCUCCCCCACGACCUCCUCCCUCCCCAAAAGUCCCGGAGCUGCCGGCCGGGCUCGCCUGCCUCAGCCGAGGGAGCGGGGCAUCAGCGGGUUCGCCCUUGCGAUAAAGCGAGACCACCUUCUCGGGGAGCCGAGAACAGGCUGGACGGCGGGGGGGAGGAGUUGUCCCUCCCCCGCUCCGCCGGGAGGCGGCGCCCGGGCUGGGGGCCGGGACCAUGCACCCGGCGCGGCGCUGAACCCCGCGGCCAAGCGGAGCCCUCUCCUGCCGGCAGCCCCCGACCUGCGAGCGAGCGGGGCCGCGCCCGCCGCCGCCGCCCAUGACCCUCCCCCCCCCCCCCCCCCCCCCCCCCCCCCCCCCCCCCCCCCCCCCCCCCCCCCCCCCCCCCCCCCCCCCCCCCCCCCCCCCCCCCCCCCCCCCCCCCCCCCCCCCCCCCCCCCCCCC
rnacentral:lncRNA from 1 species